GCUUCAGUGGUAUAGUGGUAGCACACGUCCCAGGCAUGGAUGAAACGCGGGUUCGACUCCUGCCUGUGGUC